UAGGGAAUCUUCGGCAAUGGACGAAAGUCUGACCGAGCAACGCCGCGUGAGUGAAGAAGGUUUUCGGAUCGUAAAACUCUGUUGUUAGAGAAGAACAAGGACGUUAGUAACUGAACGUCCCCUGACGGUAUCUAACCAGAAAGCCACGGCUAACUACGUGCCAGCAGCCGCGGUAAUACGUAGGUGGCAAGCGUUGUCCGGAUUUAUUGGGCGUAAAGCGAGCGCAGGCGGUUUCUUAAGUCUGAUGUGAAAGCCCCCGGCUCAACCGGGGAGGGUCAUUGGAAACUGGGGGGCUUGAGUGCAGAAGAGGAGAGUGGAAUUCCAUGUGUAGCGGUGAAAUGCGUAGAUAUAUGGAGGAACACCAGUGGCGAAGGCGGCUCUCUAGUCUGUAACUGACGCUGAGGCUCGAAAGCGUGGGGAGCAAACAGG
rnacentral:rRNA from 1 species